CUGGGUUGUUGUUGUUAUAUAGAUCUUUUCCUUUCAUUUGUCCCUAUUUUUGUUAGCUCUGCAUGAUUCCAAGAUGUUGUGGGUCUAUAGAUAAUUUCAUUCCAUGUGAUUUUAUGCCUACCUUGUUCCCUUUUAACACCUUCAAUCUCCAAGUUGUUACUUAUAUGGACCGGUGCCAGUGCAUCUGCAGGUCGACAUAGAACAUGACCAGAUUAUCUUUAGGGACAUUCUCUCAUUUCAUCCAUCACUGGUGCUACUUGCAUUUAAUGCUGAAUGUGAUUAUUUGUAAUCUUGUAUGAUCACACAUCCAUUUGAACAUUCGCGUGUCUACGACACUUGUCUUGUGGAUAUGUUGGGCUUUGAAGCUUAUUAUUUAUACAAACUAAUAAUCUAUCACCAAACAAUUUUGUUGAUAUUGCAAAAUGUGAUAUUUAGGCUGUAGUGCUGUGUAAUGGAGUAUUCUUCACCAUAUGAAUAGAAAUAAUAUAACAAUUAUGGUAUAAGCAAUUCUAACUAAUCCCAAAAUCAGAAGUUCAAUCAAACACGGGAUAAAAUAAUUCCGUAUUU
rnacentral:lncRNA from 1 species